UACGUAGGGGGGCAAGCGUUGUCCGGAAUCAUUGGGCGUAAAGAGCGCGUAGGCGGCCCUGUAAGUCCGCUGUGAAAGUCAAGGGCUCAACCCUUGAAUGCCGGUGGAUACUGCAGGGCUAGAGUCCGGAAGAGGCGAGUGGAAUUCCUGGUGUAGCGGUGAAAUGCGCAGAUAUCAGGAGAAACACCGGUGGCGAAGGCGGGUCUCUGGGCCGAUACUGACGCUGAGGAGCGAAAGCGUGGGGAGCGAACAGG
rnacentral:rRNA from 1 species